AGCUGACACAGCUCUUUUAGAAUUUUUCUGGAUUUCUGAUCUUGAUCUGAAAACCCAA
rnacentral:snRNA from 1 species